rnacentral:rRNA from 1 species
CAGGUGUUGCAUGGCUGUCGUCAGCUCGUGUCGUGAGAUGUUCGGUUAAGUCCGCUAACGAGCGCAACCCUCGUCGUAUGUUAUAUGUGUCAUACGAGACUGCCGGUAAAAGCCGGAGGAAGGUGAGGAUGAUGUCAAGUCAGCAUGACCUUUAUAUCCAGGGCUACACACACGCUACAAUGGUCUGGUACAAUGGGUAGCCAAGCCGCGAGGCGGAGCCAAUCCUGAAAGCAGGCCUACAGUUCAGAUUGCAGUCUGCAACUCGACUGCAUGAAGCCGGAGUUGCUAGUAACCGCAGGUCAGCAAUACUGCGGUGAAUACGUUCCCGGGUCUU